GCUUAAUGGAUGAGCAAAAAAAGUGGUUUCUUGAGAUGGAGUCUACUUUUGGUAAAGAUGCUGUGAA
rnacentral:pre_miRNA from 1 species